rnacentral:tRNA from 1 species
GAGGCUUUAGCUUAAUUAAAGUGUCUGGGUUGCAUCCAGGAGUUGUAGGAUAAACUCCUGCAAGCCUUA